ensembl:lncRNA
CGCCCGCUCGGAAGGAUGCGCCGCUCGGAAGGAUGCGUUGCGCGUUCAGGGCAUUGUGGACCAUUGUCUAACAGGAAUGGUUCUCUCAGAACUGACUCAGGAAAUGGAUCUGGUUGAUUAUUCAAGACCUUCAGCAAAGCCUUGUAAAAGAGUUGCCUCAUUUCGUGACACCUCUUUGAAGGACAUACCGAUGUUUGUGUGCUCUUUUGAAGGAGUUUUCCAGAUAGUUUCUUUGAUGGAUGCUCAGUUACUCCAGUAUAAAAAUGAAGAAGUAAAACUGGCAGUUCUGUGGUUCUUGGAUCAGAGUGUGAAAGCGCAGCUUCAGCACAGCUGAAAGAUCCCACUCUGUUCUUAUCCAAUCUCCCUGCAAUUUACCCAGGAAAAGAAAAUCGGGAUUGGCUUUGGUGGGCCUGGGAUCCUCUGGUGUUGAUGGAAAGCUCCAGCACCUCUUGCACAAUUCCUCUCCUCGUGAGGCAGCCAGAGCCUUCCCCUGUGGGUGUGUGGAGGAAGGAACAGCCCAGCACAACUGCCUGUGGUUUAUCAGACACAGCAGGUUUGUGCUUUUCCAGCUACAGGAUGGCAGGGAAGCACUGAGUAGUGCCCACCAUGAAAAAUCCAAAUUCACUGAACAGCCCAUGCUGAAUUAAAUAGAAGGUAAGUGUUAGUAAUACAGAAGUCAAAAUAAGUAAUUCUUAGUAACAAAACCUUGGCAAACUUUAAAUCAUAAUUUCUGUCCUUUAACUACUUCUGGAAAUUUCUUUAUUGAAUUGCUCCAUUACCUGGAAAUUCUGUACAGCAAACAUACUGUCAGGACAUAGAGACAAACACUCAGAACUUCGUGGAAUCAUAAACACUGUGUUCUUCAUUAGGUUGAGUUGUUAAGUGUUCUUCAUUUUACAUGUCCUCAAUUCCAUCAUUUUUUAUGUGGUUGUUUUAUGUGUGAAUUGAUGCUUUUCUUCAUGGACUGUACAGCACAUUCCCUUCUGCCUUUGCUUGGGGAAUUUUUAUCCUGUUUUCUCUUUUCUCCAAUUUUACAUGAUAUAGUCCUGCCUUCCUCCUUCUAUUUCAAUGAUGUUUAAAACAUUCAAGUCCUUAAAACCUCCUUUUCUUUUUUUCGCCCCUGAAUUGCAGUGUAUUUGCUGUUCUGUCACUUACACCUUUGUCUCUCUCACUCAUUACCUUUGGACUCCUUGCUCAUGACAACUAAACCUGCAUGAUUCAUUACAGAGAUAUUCUUCAUUCAUAUGUUUGCAAUUAAAGCACUGGUUUAAGUGCCACUCUAUUUUAUUUUAGAAUUUUAUAACAUGAAUCAGGCAAUACUAACAAUAAAUAAUAAACACAGUUCAGUUCUUCACUUGACUGUUGCUGAGCAUUAUUUUGUAGCUGCUAAUAAAGGCACAUUAUCAUGUUCAGGGAUUGCAAUUAUCACUGAAAUGUGUAUGUCCAUUAACUGCAACAUUAGGCUGAGGGUAUAAUUACUGUCUAGAGCCAAUAUCUGUGUGAAGUUACGUCUAUGAUGCUAUUAAGCUAUAAGCAAUAUUUUAAAAAUAAUACUUAAACAUUUCAGAAUUGAUUCCAUCGCUUGCCGACUUAAAAUCUAAUCUUAUUUCAACUCCAAAUUAUUGAUGAUUUAAGUGUUUGGCAAAUAAACUAUUGAGUUAUUUAGAUGUGAGUAUAAUUUGUGAUGUGAGAGAGAAUACUGUUUUUCUAAUAGCAAGUGCCCAGCAUGAACUGAGCUGGUGGCAGGAGGAGAGAGAAGCUGUGGUGACAACAAAAUGCUGAUAAAAUAGUGGUACAGUGUGUCACAAAAUGCUGCAAACAGGUUGAAUUUUACUCAGAGUUACUUUUCAGACAAUUUAGUACAGCAAUUUAACAACAUAGAAUCCUGCUGCAUGCUUAAAGGACAAGAAGGAAAAUGCUUUCCUAAUAAUAUCAAAAGUGUGUUUUGAAGAGGAAUGAGGUUGAGUUUGUUCAUUGAUUUGCUUUCAGAAAAUUCUAGUGUUUCUGCUGGCAGAACAUUAAACUGCCUGUGAAAUAUGGUGGAUAGUUCAUUUGCAAAACUAAUCUAAGUCACGAGUCACUAAUUCCACAUGUGGAGAUGUUUGCAUCUGUAACGAAGUGAACUUUUGAUAUAUUUUGAUUUAUAUAUAAAAUAUGCAUAGUAGUAAUUGACUUUUAAGUGCUUGUGUAGAUUAAUAUUUUGUUGUAUUUCGUUGGCAUGUGAGUGAUAGCCACCCCUUUGGUUAAUUUCGUUACCUGAAUCAGGAAUGGAUAGUUUGGGAAUGCUGUUUAGCAGUAAAAGUUAAAAGAAUCAGUCUUUCAGCAUUUUACAUCUUAUUUUAAAUGCAAGUGCAUUUCAGAUUUUUGUAGGACAGAGGAACUAUUGCAUUGCUUAAUGAUGUUUUUCUGGUACAGAUAGACCCUAAUAGAACUCCUGUUUCUGCUUUACAGCAGUUGUUUUGGAUUCAGCUUUCACAUGUGUCUGCUUUGUGGCUUUCCAGCCUCUGCUCUGUCUUUGAUGGCUAGACUUGGUUGUUCUGACACUGUUUAUGUUUGCUGCCCACAUCACUAAAUAUGACUUUCUAUUUAUAAAAUUGUUUGCAUUUUUAUGUUGAUUAUGCUCUUUGUUUCAAAAUUCACAUAUUUCACUUCAAGCAGAUUCUCUUCUCUGGGUAACCUCUAACUGCUGGACUGUUUCACUUGUGCUGCAUUUUCCAAAACCAGCUUAGCAAGAAGGAAUAAGUAGCAAAUAAGGCAUCUUGGGGAAAAAAAAAACAACCCCAGCAGCCCAGGCUGACUUGACUUACUCAUCUAAAAUAUACUGGUUUCGUUGCUGUACAUUGGUCUUGUAUCUUUAUUAUUAAAGAACCUUAAUGAAUUAAUUUAACAGGCCUUGCAGUAAGUAAAUUAACCACCAGAGUUCAGAGCAGAGUGAAUAAUUUUUUAAUAUUAGACAGCAACAAUUUUUAUGAUUCAAGUUAAUUAUUAAAUUGCUUAUUGCAUAUUUUUGUAAUUCAAAGAUAAAAAUCAUGCAAAGAACAAUCCAGUAAAAUCCCAGGAGGUUAGAAAAUUCUUGUUGAUACUGAGUGAGUUAUCUACCUGCGUCCUGGGUUUGUGGUGUGCACUGUCCAGCACUGCUGAAAGGGUGGUUGCGUGAUUUUACCUGAUCAGUUGUUAACCUUUCCUUCAAAAUUACUAAUGAAUUGAAUUUAGUUACCAGCAAUUAGUGUAUUACAAAAACAGUCUUCUGGAUGAUCUUCUAGAUUUUCCUUUAGAACAAUGUUGUCAGUUUAGAUUUAUAAAGGGGAAUAUGUUUUUGUCUGGCAGCAUUCUUAAACAGGAAUUGUUCCACAGCACUAACUUCGGUUCAUUAAUUUUUUUUUUUUUCCUGAGAAAAUACUUGCUACCUAAGUAGCAAUCUUCCCAGGUAGCUUCAUGCACUGAUGAUUUCUAUUCUUACAUGUGAAACAAAAGUGAAAUUGAGUAGAUAAAGUGCAAACUUCCACCCUUUGUGACCUCAAGGUCAGUUGGUUUUUACCUUACAAAAAAGUGAGUGUUAAACACAGCAUGGAAACUGUCCAUCAGUUGGGGCUUUUUGGUAUAGUUGCAAGUUUUGGGUUAAUCCAGAAUUGCAAAGGAGAUGCAGUUCCUCCUUUUAGCUUUUACUCUCAUAUCAAUACUCCUGUUUUUUUAAAUUAUAUAGGAUUGGUCAUUUUGUAUUCCUAUUAUGGUCUAUUAAUUGUUUUUUUCAUGCUUUUUAGGGUUAUUUACAAGUAACUGUGUGGAAAGAGCAGUGUUCAAGUGUUCAUGGAGCAGCAUGUACAGAAACCUUUGUGGCUUUUGUUAAGCUGUUGUCACCUGACCAGCAAUGCAUCGCUUCCACUCCAGAGGAGAGAGUCAGUGGAGCCGAGCUCCUAAGGACUCUUUUCUUCAGAGCAGCAGUCAUGUCCAGUACAUAGGAUGAGAAACCUUUUAGGAUUUGAGGUAGAAAUGAGGCUUCAGUUACUUCCUCUGUUUUGCAGUGCCUUUGAUCUGGAAACUUUCCAGAUGCAUGAAGUAAUCAGAUUUCUCAAUCAAAUUAAUUUUUUUUAAAAUUUGGUCUACCCUUGCCUUCACAUGACUUAUGUACACACUGUCUGGGAGUGUCAGAUGGAGAAAACAUCCACAUCACUGUGAAAUGCUUCAUGGUGAAUAAAGAGAAGAAACUCCUCUAAGGCAGAUAAGAUGUCACACUUACUUCCUCCCUUUUCCACCUGUGUGACAAUAACUGUACCAGGAGAGGUCUGCACAGAAAUCUGUGCAGAAACUGCAUUUGCUCAGUUAAGGACAGAGCCUCCAGUAAGCACUUCUGGUUUUAUUUGGGUGGCAGUUCGUGGCUCAUCUGAACAUUUUGAUAAUACUUGCACUCUGAUUUCUUUUUUUUCCCCCUUUUCUUCUACAUAUUUGAACCAUUUGUACUUUUCAUCCCAUUUUAUAGUAGCAUGAGGAAAAGCUGUAAGACAUUUCCAAAUAUCAAGUUUAACUAAGAAACUACUUUAAAAAUAAUAAAAUACAAAGGCUACUUUUGCUUAUGUGAUUGACUCUGGUGUUGAGAAGCCAAAGAGCACACAGGUAUGGUGUUAGAGGGUACCAGAUGGUGUUUCUUCUCCAGGAAAAGGAAAAUGCCUCUUUAUUGUUUCCCCUUUUUUUGUGUUGCAUGAGAAAUGAGCAUCUUUCUAUGAGAUCAUGUGGCAAACCAACCUACCUUGGGUUAUUCUUCUCCUCAGGGAAUAUUUGGCUUGUCACCUGCAGUUCUAGGAGCCCUCAUAAAGACCCAGGUGAGAGAUCAGCGCUGUCAGGAUCUUUCCAUCCAGGUAAGGUGAGCCAUGAGAGAUGAGCAGCUUCCCUUUAGGAAUCUACAGUAGGGCUGGUACAGAUAUUUUGAAGAAAUCUGAUUCUUCAGAAGCUUUCAAGCUGUUGAUGAUAGCUUAUUUUUUCAAGGCCAAGCUGCUUAGGCUAGAAGGUCUUCAAGGUGUUAGAGACUUAUUCUAACUGCACAGGCUUUGCAGCUGCCUUCAGUUUAUACAGCCCCCUGCAGAAGUUAUUUCUGAGUGUCAUGGCACCGUGGCUGAAUUUAGUGCAGUAUCAGAACUACUUUGUAAAGUUGCCAGCACCCUUGGAAGCUCAGAUGAUUUUCUGAACUGCUGGGAUUUUAAGGAAAUUCAUAUUUUGAAAAAUAAAUCUAAUAAUUAGUAUUUAUUAGUAAUUGUGGUGAUCCUUUUAAAAACAGUUUUAUUUGUACAUGCUGUGAAUGCCUUUAUUUGUUUCCUUUACAAAUAAAUAAAUUCAUCAGUCCCAUCUGUUGGGAAGCACGGGCUGUGUGAGAGGCAGCAGAGUCAGCAGAGGGAGCACAAGGAAACGAGCAGGACUGUGCUGUGUGCGAAGGACUGGGGUGGGAGUGCUUCUGCUGAACAUGCAGUGAAUAAUCAGAUACCUGUUUGGUAUUGUAUAAAGAUUUCAUCUCAGGAACACUUCCAGGCUGCCACCACGAAUACUUAGAUGGUGAAUAAUAUGAAGUUAUUUCUAGAGGUGCAUAAACCUGUCAAGUGGGACUGAUCUGUGAUGUGAGGAGUUGUUUCUGUCUCCAACCCUGAAUUACAUUUUGCUGUUCAACUUUGUUUUAGUUAGUGUUUUGCUCUCCUGCUGUGCCAAUAAGCAAAUACUUGUGCACAAACAUCCCUCCUGAUCACUUCUGGAGGGCCAGGAGGGGAAGCAGGUGGGUGGAGGCUGCUUGUGCUGCAGUUUCUACACACAUGUUGGUGGCAUUAAGCUUCCUGCUUGCCUUGGCACUCCUUAGGCCCAAAACAAGGGAGAAGAUAUUUUUGAGAAAUACAUGUUUCAUUUUUAAGCAUGCUUAACCUUAAUAGUUAUGACAAAUUUUUAAAAUAUGUGCAUUUGAGACAGCAUUAAUAAUUCACAUAUUUUUCAUUAAGAAAAAGAACAAACUGUCUAUAGGGCCAUUAAAUUCUUACUUGGCUAAGAUCAUCAACAUUUAGAUGACCUAAAAUGGUACCUUGUUUGGGUCAUAAUAUGCCACUUGAAAAAAAAUACCCUGUGAUUUAGUUUUGAUUCUGACAAUACUCAAAAGGAUUUGUUAUGUCUUACUGACCUCUCUGCAAACUACUAAUGGGAUGAACACAAUAUAUCACUUUUAUAAUAGUGAGCUAUUAAAGGCACACAUAAAGCAGUCUGAAGCCCAUAAGUGCUGCCAACAGCUUCUGCUUUAAUGAAUUCCCUUUUAGAUGUCCAUUAAAUGCUCAUGGCAAAUGUACUCAUAAUGGAAAUGGCAAAUCUAAAUGGGUAGAUAUGAAUAAUCCAUGGAGUUUAAAUUCUGUUUAUGAUCAUCUUCACAUUUAGUUUUCAAGACAACGCAGUUUAGUUUUCAUUACAGUUUGGAAUAAAGAGGACAGGGAGUAAUUGAUUGCUUCAAGCAGAUUAAAAUCAAUGCGUUGCUUUUCAAAGAACCCAUGGAACGCAGUAAUUUCAACUUUAAACGUUGAUUUAGGGAACUCAACACAAAAUGUUUUGUGCUGUGUGAACUUUUAUGUAGAAAGACUAAUACUAAUUUUAUUUCUAUAUAUCUGUAUAUAGAAAUAUAUAGAGGUUGUUAUCAGUAUGUGCAUGAGUAAACAGUGAUCUAUAGUAAGUUAUUUUGGUAUUAUUGCACUCAUGUAGUGAAUCAAUGAGAUUCCCGUCAUCAUUGGGAUACUGUUUGUAAACCAUUAGCACACAGAAAUUACAACCCAUCAUACAUCAUUACUGUGAUUGAGGCUUUAUUACCAUAUUCUCAAAUUGCUUGCUUGCUAUAAAACUAAAUAGACACCAGACAACUAUAGGUAGACGAUAGACUGUGCCUUAUUGGGCUGGACUAAUGAAGGAUUAUUGUAGCAUAAUGGGGCACAACUUACGAGGAAAAUAAACUUGGCAGCAAAGGAAAGCUUGAGUGUUUUUAUUGUUUGUUGUUACUGCUUUAAAGGUCAAAUAUAUUUGUUAUGAUC